GAGCUUACAAUUGAUCUGACAGUUACACUGAGCUUCACUCCAGAAUAGAAUCCCUGUUUCCUGCCCCGGGGAGAAUAUUUCCUGCACAUUUCUGUCUCCUUAUGCAAGUUUCUCCCACAUCCAUGAAAUAAACGGUUAGACAGAGACUUGCCCCCUAACAAUGAGGCUGCUA